rnacentral:rRNA from 1 species
UUAAGUUAAUAAGGGCGCACGGUGGAUGCCUUGGCACUAGAAGCCGAUGAAGGACGUGACUAACGACGAAAUGCUUUGGGGAGCUGUAAGUGAGCAAUGAUCCAGAGAUGUCCGAAUGGGGGAACCCGGCAGGUAAUGCCUGUCACUCAUUACUGUUAAGGUAAUGUAGAGGAAGACGCAGUGAACUGAAACAUCUAAGUAGCUGUAGGAAGAGAAAGCAAAAGCGAUUGCCUUAGUAGCGGCGAGCGAAACGGCAAGAGGGCAAACCGAAGAGUUUACUCUUCGGGGUUGUAGGACUGCAACGUGGACUUAAAGAUUAUAGAAGAACUACCUGGGAAGGUAGGCCAAAGAGAGUAAUAGCCUCGUAUUCGAAAUAGUCUUUAUACCUAGCAGUAUCCUGAGUACGGCGAGACACGAGAAAUCUCGUCGGAAUCUGGGAGGACCAUCUCCCAACCCUAAAUACUCUCUAGUGACCGAUAGUGAACCAGUACCGUGAGGGAAAGGUGAAAAGUACCCCGGGAGGGGAGUGAAAUAGAACCUGAAACCGUGUGCCUACAACAAGUUCGAGCCCGUUAAUGGGUGAGAGCGUGCCUUUUGUAGAAUGAACCGGCGAGUUACGAUAUGAUGCGAGGUUAAGUUGAAGAGACGGAGCCGUAGGGAAACCGAGUCUUAAUAGGGCGCAUUAGUAUCAUGUCGUAGACCCGAAACCAUGUGACCUACCCAUGAGCAGGUUGAAGGUGAGGUAAAACUCACUGGAGGACCGAACCAGGGCACGUUGAAAAGUGCUUGGAUGACUUGUGGGUAGCGGAGAAAUUCCAAACGAACUUGGAGAUAGCUGGUUCUCUCCGAAAUAGCUUUAGGGCUAGCGUCGAUGUUAAGUCUCUUGGAGGUAGAGCACUGUUUGGGUGAGGGGUCCAUCCCGGAUUACCAAUCUCAGAUAAACUCCGAAUGCCAAUGAGAUAUAAUCGGCAGUCAGACUGCGAGUGCUAAGAUCCGUAGUCGAAAGGGAAACAGCCCAGACCACCAGCUAAGGUCCCAAAAUAUAUGUUAAGUGGAAAAGGAUGUGGGGUUGCACAGACAACUAGGAUGUUAGCUUAGAAGCAGCUAUUCAUUCAAAGAGUGCGUAAUAGCUCACUAGUCGAGUGACCCUGCGCCGAAAAUGUACCGGGGCUAAAACAUAUUACCGAAGCUGUGGAUACCUUUAUAGGUAUGGUAGGAGAGCGUUCUAUGUGCGAAGAAGGUGUACCGUGAGGAGUGCUGGAGCGCAUAGAAGUGAGAAUGCCGGUAUGAGUAGCGAAAGACAGGUGAGAAUCCUGUCCACCGUAAGACUAAGGUUUCCAGGGGAAGGCUCGUCCGCCCUGGGUUAGUCGGGACCUAAGGAGAGACCGAAAGGUGUAUCCGAUGGACAACAGGUUGAUAUUCCUGUACUAGAGUAUAUAGUGAUGGAGGGACGCAGUAGGCUAACUAAACCAGACGAUUGGAAGUGUCUGGCCAAGCAGUGAGGUGUGAUAUGAGUCAAAUGCUUAUAUCUUUAACAUUGAGCUGUGAUGGGGAGCGAAGUUUAGUAGCGAAGUUAGUGAUGUCACACUGCCGAGAAAAGCUUCUAGCGUUAAUUAUACUCUACCCGUACCGCAAACCGACACAGGUAGUCGAGGCGAGUAGCCUCAGGUGAGCGAGAGAACUCUCGUUAAGGAACUCGGCAAAAUGGCCCCGUAACUUCGGGAGAAGGGGCGCUGACUGAUGGUCAGCCGCAGUGAAUAGGCCCAAGCAACUGUUUAUCAAAAACACAGCUCUCUGCUAAAUCGUAAGAUGAUGUAUAGGGGGUGACGCCUGCCCGGUGCUGGAAGGUUAAGAGGAGUGCUUAGCGUAAGCGAAGGCAUGAAUUGAAGCCCCAGUAAACGGCGGCCGUAACUAUAACGGUCCUAAGGUAGCGAAAUUCCUUGUCGGGUAAGUUCCGACCCGCACGAAAGGCGUAAUGAUUUGGGCACUGUCUCAACGAGAGACUCGGUGAAAUUUUAGUACCUGUGAAGAUGCAGGUUACCCGCGACAGGACGGAAAGACCCCAUGGAGCUUUACUGCAGUUUGAUAUUGAGUAUCUGUACCACAUGUACAGGAUAGGUAGGAGCCUAUGACCUCGGGACGCCAGUUUCGAGUGAGGCGUUGUUGGGAUACUACCCUUGUGUUAUGGCUACUCUAACCCAGAUAGGUUAUCCCUAUCGGAGACAGUGUCUGACGGGCAGUUUGACUGGGGCGGUCGCCUCCUAAAAGGUAACGGAGGCGCCCAAAGGUUCCCUCAGAAUGGUUGGAAAUCAUUCGCAGAGUGUAAAGGUAUAAGGGAGCUUGACUGCGAGAGCUACAACUCGAGCAGGGACGAAAGUCGGGCUUAGUGAUCCGGUGGUUCCGUAUGGAAGGGCCAUCGCUCAACGGAUAAAAGCUACCCUGGGG